rnacentral:lncRNA from 1 species
UAAUGAAAUUAUGAAACUGAGUGAAAUAUGGAAAAACAGUUAAUGUAAUUAUAUUAAUGAAAUUACUAAAAUGACAUUAUACUUCUUUUUUUAUAUUUCAAUCCAUGUUUCUAAUCAAUUUUUAUUUAUACUCUUAUCCAUGUUUCUAAACAGUACCAAACGAUCCUUUUAUUUUAAUAAGAGUUAUUUUUGGAUUCACCAACCAAUAGUAUUAUGUUAUUGCAUAUUCAAUAUCUUUUAAAAAAGGAAAACAAUAUUGUCAAGUUAUAUUAUGUUUUUAAAAUAAAAAGGUAAAAAUAAAUAGAAAAUAGUAAUAAUUUCAAAAAAAAAUUAAUAUUUUUAUUGUCAUCAGCAAAACACUAAACCCUAAACGCUUGGAUAAAUCCUAAACCCUUAGAUAAAUCCUAAACCCUAAAUUAAAAAUAUUAAACAUUAAGUAUUAAAAACACAAAACCCUUAAUCCCAACCCUAAGCCCUUGGAUAAAAAUAAAUAAAAAAUAGUAGUAGUUGCUAAAAAAAAAGAAAAUUUUUAAAUAUUUUUAACGCCGUGAGCAAAACACUAAACCCUAAA